UGGGGAAUCUUGCACAAUGGGGGCAACCCUGAUGCAGCGACGCCGCGUGAGCGAUGAAGCCCUUCGGGGCGUAAAGCUCUUUCGACCGGAACGAUAAUGACGGUACCGGGAGAAGAAGCUGCGGCUAACUACGUGCCAGCAGCCGCGGUAAUACGUAGGCAGCAAGCGUUGUUCGGAGUUACUGGGCGUAAAGAGUGCGUAGGCGGUUUUCUAAGUUCGGUGUGAAAUCUCCCGGCUUAACCCUGGAACUGCCUUCGAUACUGGCGACCUUGAGUCCGGGAGAGGUGAGUGGAACUCCGAGUGUAGAGGUGAAAUUCGUAGAUAUUCGGAAGAACACCAGUGGCGAAGGCGGCUCACUGGCCCGGUACUGACGCUGAGAUGCGAAAGCGUGGGGAGCAAACA
rnacentral:rRNA from 1 species